rnacentral:misc_RNA from 1 species
AACGCACCUUGCGCCCUUUGGCUAUUCCGAAGGGCAUGCCUGUUUGAGUAUCAUGAGCACCUCAACUCUCGUGGCUUUGCCCAUGAUGAGCUUGGACUUUGGGGGUCUUUGCUGGCUUACGGUCGGCUCCUCUCAAACGAAUCAGCUUGCCAGUGUUUGGCGGCAUCACAGGUGUGAUAACUAUCUGCGCUUGUGGUUUCCCGCUAGAUAACCUUCAGCGAUGGAGGUUCGCUGGAGCUCAUAAAUGUCUCUCCUCAGCGAGGACAGCACUUUGACUGUUUGAUCUCAAAUCAGGUAGGACUACCCGCUGAACUUAA